rnacentral:rRNA from 1 species
AUACGUAGGGGGCGAGCGUUGUCCGGAUUUAUUGGGCGUAAAGGGUGCGUAGGCGGCCUUGUAAGUCAGAUGUGAAAUCUCACGGCUUAACCGUGGUAAGCAUUUGAAACUGUGAGGCUUGAGUACAGGAGAGGAGAGUGGAAUUCCUAGUGUAGCGGUGAAAUGCGUAGAUAUUAGGAGGAAUACCAGUGGCGAAGGCGACUCUCUGGACUGUAACUGACGCUGAGGCACGAAAGCGUGGGGAGCAAACAGGAUUAGAUACCCUGGUAGUCCACGCCGUAAACGAUGAGUGCUAGGUGUCGGGGGUCAAACCUCGGUGCCGCAGUUAACACAUUAAGCACUCCGCCUGGGGAGUACGGUGGCAACACUGAAACUCAAAGGAAUUGGCGGGG